UACGUAGGGGGCAAGCGUUGUCCGGAUUUAUUGGGCGUAAAGCGCUCGCAGGUGGUUCGUCGCGUCGUGCGUGAAAGACCCCGGCUCAACUGGGGGAGGUCGUGCGAUACGGGCGGACUGGAGGCCAGUAGGGGGAUGCGGAAUUCCGGGUGUAGUGGUGGAAUGCGUAGAGAUCCGGAGGAACACCAGCGGCGAAGGCGGCAUCCCGGACUGGUCCUGACACUCAUGAGCGAAAGCGUGGGGAGCGAUCCGG
rnacentral:rRNA from 1 species